rnacentral:rRNA from 1 species
AUUGAACGCUGGCGGCAGGCCUAACACAUGCAAGUCGAACGAGUGGCGGACGGGUGAGUAAUGUCUGGGAAACUGCCUGAUGGAGGGGGAUAACUACUGGAAACGGUAGCUAAUACCGCAUACCAUCGGAUGUGCCCAGAUGGGAUUAGCUAGUAGGUGGGGUAAAGGCUCACCUAGGCGACGAUCCCUAGCUGGUCUGAGAGGAUGACCGUCAACACUGGAAAUGAGACACGGUCCAAGCUCCUACGGGAGGGAGCAGUGGGGAAUAUUGCAACAUGGGCUGAAGCCUGAUGCAGCCAUGCCGCGUGUAGGAAGAAGGCCUUCGGGUUGUAAAGGACUUUAAGCGGGGAGGCGUUACCCUCAGAAGAAGCACCUGCUAACUCCGUGCCAGCAGCCGCGGUAAUUC